GGUGGCGUUUUAGCGGGAGAUCCGAGCGUCUCGGCUGGUGGAAGGGGCGAGGAGCUUUGCAGUUGUGUGCGAGUGUGUACAGGUGAGUUUGUCCGUACGCGUGAUUAAGUGUGUGCGUGUGAUCAAGUGUGGGGGCGAGUGUUGCGUGAGCAAACCUGUGAGAGGGUGAGAGUCCGUCCGUGUAGGUGAGGGAGCUAGCAAGAGUGUGAGCGAGUGCGAAUGUCCCUACAAGUGUGGGCGCGUGAUGUGUUUGAAGGUGUGUUUGUUCGAGAGGGUGUGUGUUGGGGUCAACGAGGGUGCAUGUGUGUGAGUGAGGAAGCCUGAGUGUGUGGUGUGUGCGCGAGCCAGCAAGCUGGAAUGGCUCUCGCGUGCUUGUAGAUCAUGAGCGUGACUUGGUGGCUUUCUGUGAUGGUAUUGGGUGUGUAUGGCUUUUUGCUGUCCAUGCAUGAUUGUGUUAGCUUGACUCGUGUUGGUGUUGUUUAUGUGGGAAUGUGAGGGAUUUAGUUCAUGAGAUUACGUGUGUGUUGCUCUGCAGUCUCAAGCUUGCUGGGUUAGCUGUUUCUGAAUAGGAUUUGACCCAAGUUCAGCGUCAGCUUUUCAAACAGCCUAAAAACUCUGGCCUUGGGCAUUGAGAAAUCAGAAAGUUUUUUUUUCUCUCUGUCCCUCUGACUAUAACAGUUGUGGAAGAAUUAGACAAUUCUAAGAAAGAAAGUUUCCUGAAUUAGCAUUAGGAAAACUAGACACAAAAAUCCCACUUUCUGAAAAAAUGAGAAACUUCCUAAUUGUAACUAAAAUGAUCAGUAAACAAGCCACUUGCUGGUUUGGAAGAAAGGAAACACACCUAUGUGUUCUCUUUCUGCCAACACUUGAAUUCUCUGGUCCAACUGUUACGCCGUCUACGUGACUUCCAUUAAGAACAAGCAGCACCCUUAAAUGCAUCUCAAGUGUUGUAUGUCGCUAAAGGCCAUGACCGGUUCUUGGUUUUCCUUAUCUCCAAGCUAAGCCUCAGUUUCUGCAUGCACAAAAUUAGGAAGAUAAUAUCCACCCAUCUACAACUCAAUGCAUUGAGUCACAUGAAAGUUUUGUAGACAGGAAAAGUUCUGUGGCACUCGGCCUGAUCAAGUCAGCUUUCCUGGGUGUUGCUGAGUUAACUAUAAGGAUUAUAUGGAAGGACCAUCCCUAGACUAAUUCUAGACCUGGCUCCUAAUGUGCAGGUCAGCAGUUCUUUCCGUGACUGGCAAGUCUGAGGUCAUUUGCAAGUUAAGGAAGAUAAAUGUACUGAUAUCUGACUUGGUUUGCGCCAGAGAUGAUUUUUUCAAAAGAUGUAUUAACUGGGUUGGAUGCAGUGGCUCACCCCUGUAAUACCAACACUUUGGGAGGCUAAAGCAGGAGGAUCGCUUGACCCUGGAGUUCAAGACCAGAUUGGGCAACAUAUCAAGACCCUAUCUCUACAAAAAUAAAAAA
ensembl:lncRNA novel transcript (contains ZIM2-AS1 and PEG3-AS1)